UACGUAGGGGGCAAGCGUUGUCCGGAUUUAUUGGGCGUAAAGAGCUCGUAGGCGGUCUGUCGCGUCUGCUGUGAAAACUCGGGGCUUAACCCCGGGCCUGCAGUGGGUACGGGCAGACUAGAGUGCGGUAGGGGAGACUGGAAUUCCUGGUGUAGCGGUGAAAUGCGCAGAUAUCAGGAGGAACACCGGUGGCGAAGGCGGGUCUCUGGGCCGUAACUGACGCUGAGGAGCGAAAGCGUGGGGAGCGAACAGG
rnacentral:rRNA from 1 species